CAGGCGGGAAGGAGGAAGUAGAGAGCGGCAAGGAAGUUGAGGCAGGGAGACGCAGAGGGCCCUCCCCGGCUCCCCAGUCAGAUCCGCGCUUCACCCUCCCUCUGCUGAGUUCUGGACACAGACAACCUCACCGGUGCGCUGUACAUGUGCUGAGGAGGCUUUCACGCAACUGAAGGCCAGAAGAAAAUGAGAAAAAGGGCUUCGCUUGGUGUAUAAAUGAAACCUUUCACACGCAAGCGUCUGGGAAAGGACACCCAUCAAGAGGUUCAUGGUCCAGGUGACCCCAUGAGGGGGUUUCCACGGUCCUGGUGAGAAUGAGGACAACUCCGUGCACGCCAGUGUGGAGAUAUUUGAAGAACUCUGCCCUACGGGAAGGUGAUAUGUGUGAAAGAUCCAGAGACUGUCCCAUAACAGGACAACAGUUCAUUGCAAAGUGAUCUGUGUGCCUUCUGUUCCCCGUCCUGGAGGUACGCGGCACGGCUGCCUGCAGAUCCCUUGAUAAUCGGCAUCUUCUGAAAUUGGCAGCCUCUCUUCUGGAGUCGGCGAAUAAAAUUCCAGACAUCCACGAAAGACAGACAUCCGGGGUCUCUGCUCCAAAUCUACUGGUUGGAAACUUGAGGUCAACCUCCCUUUCUAACAGAGACCCUGCUCUACGCUUUGGCUCAGAUGUCAUCUACUUGGCAUCAAUGGAGACAAAUAAAAUGACCAAUGACUGCUGACUUGACCUUUGGGCAUCUGGUGUGAGACACCAUAUGCCCUUCCCCAAGACCAGCCCUGGCAUGGUCACUUUGGAAACAAACUCAGUUACUCUAACCUUACCCCCUCAAGCCCCAGUAAUGGAAAAUGAGAGGGAGGAAGAUCUUGGGGAGUAAUCAAGAGGGGAAAUCACUAUCGCCCCAACAGUUCAAAAAGUGGCCCAGACAUCCCUUUUCAAUGAAACAACAUAGAAGGGUAGUAAGGUUGUUCAUAGCAUAAGCUACUUCAUGGCGUGCCUGGGUUCUCCUUAAAUUAAAACCAGUUUGAUCUAAAACCAGGUCUAGGAGAGACUGUAAAAGGAGAUCCUCUCUCACCAUGAAGUCUCACAAUGGAAAUCCACCGCGCAUUCAUUCUAGGCAUUGUUCUAAGGCCACCCCUACUGUCGCAUCUGACUGCUUGUGUGCUCAUCUCCUCUUCCCUCUCCCACUUCUUGUCUCUUUUGAGCAUUCCCGUCCUUUACUUUCAAUCCUAACCCUCUCUCCUCUUCGUGAUGGGUAGCAUCAGUCAGCCAGGCCGUCAAGGCAGGUAAGCGCCUUUUCCUCUUGGGGGGCGUCCUAAAGUAGUGUCUUUGACUAGGAGCGGAUUUUUUUAAAACUUGUGUUGGAGCCAAAAUCUUCGCUAAGAAUGGUCCCAGUUUUUGAAGCUGUCCUGUAAGGUGGUCUGUCCCCUGUUCUUCCAGGCUGUAAGCCACAGCCCGCUGUGUCAAGGGCGGGGGGGGGGGGGCUCGGGACAAUCCUGAGCCCUGGCCUGGAGUUCACCCCCUCCCAUGGCCCUGACACGCCAGUCAGCUCCCUCUCGGCCCCCAGCCCAAGUCUAUGUCCAUUCGGGCCAGAGGCUCCAGGCUGCCUGUCUGGCCACAUUCCGGGACGUCCUACAACCAGCUUUACGACCACCUGCACUCAUCAUACUCCUGUCUCCUCCCAACAUCUCCAUCUCUCGUGGCGCUAGCAGCCCGCUCACAGGAAGUCAUCUCUCGCCCUCACUUCCCCAUACCCAGCCAUGCACUGAAAGCACUUCCCAGCCUCCAAGUAGGAGCUUUUCUAUGAGCUACAGAUUCUUCACCUCCCAAUGCAACCGAAGCCAACUUCCCAGCCCCUGCUCUAGCCAUCCAAAGAAAUUCCAAUCUGAUUUACACAGUUAUGUCAAAUGCAUAUCCCAGCGAUGAUGCCGAUUCAGGUGACCGGCGAAGGUAAGACAGAGUAAAGUUCAACAGAUGUAACCCUAAAAAUCAAGAACAAUUGAAAGUGGAACAGUCCUCUCCCUCUACACACCUGACACACACAUGCAUGGGACUGCAAAGCAAAUGAGGUCUCUUGUUCUGUGCUCACAGUGAUGGCCAGAUCAUCUUCCAUCAGACCCAUCAAUUAUUAAUGUGAAUAGUUGAGGAGAUUUUUAGUGCGUGUGAACUGAAUUAAUCCCAGGACGGGCACAGUCCCUCCCUGCAGGACGGCAUCAUAAAAGAAAGUCACCUAAAACAAGUCUGCAGCGUAUAAAUUAAUUUAAAAUUGAACGGGGUCAUUUUACGUUUUGAAGAUAAUAAGAUUAGCUAGAAGGAACUGAGACAGAGAACCAGUAUCAAGCCCGAGGGAACAAAAAAAAAAAAAGUUAAAAAAACAUAACCAUGAGAGCGCUGAGUCAUAUCUGAGACAAUCUCAAGGCCCUGGGGAAAGUUCCAGCAUGGUCUUAAGAGGGAGGUCACAUAAUUCUCUUCUAUGAACCCAUCAAUUGCAUCCAGCCUGGUGGUGACGGGCAUCGCUGGCUGAGUUCCAAACACCAGCACAUGGAGUAGAAGGCCCUGCCUUUCUUCGAUGGUGACGGCGUGCUCUACGACAACAGCCUUAACACCGACCAGAGAUCACGGCGGAAAGAGGAGACCCGCUGGGCGGCCCGACGUGGGCUGCGGCAGUGAGGUCCCAACAAACAAGUUACAAAGGACAUCAAGACUGAAACACGAAUGACUGUGGGACAGAAUCUGUAAGUUACUUGCUCAUUGCAAAGCAGCAGAGGAAUGGAGAGGCAAGACGGACCCAGUGUGACCACGAGGAUCUGGAAAGCUCCCCAGAAAACUUGCCAUUUAUAAUGGACCUCCAAGGACCUUUCAGGAUGCAUCACAUUCUGUCCCACAAGAAUAGAAUGAACCAUAGUUUCCCUCCAUUUCCGACCAGGCUUACUUCUUGCUGCUGCACUGACAGACUUUUGCAAGUUCCACCUUUGCCUCAAAUUUCUCAUGGUGAUUAAGAACUGUCGUUGCCACAACAUAGCACAGAGAAAGCCAGCCAGCAUCCACGCGUGGACCUCAGCCGUCAACAGUUGACACGGCCAAGAAAAGUUCAUUAAGCAUGGGGUAAUAAAAAGCAUGGGCAAAAACAGAGAUGGGACAAUUCCCCUGGGCAUUGCGAGAGCAGCCCUCUGUGAUGAAAUGUUCCUCAAGGAUCCGGGGAAAUUACAUGAUAAAACUGCAGCAGACCGCGGGAUAGGAUAACAAGCUCCAUCACAACGUCGCAGGGACACAGACAUUUCCCCUGGCUCGAGGAGCAGCACAGAGCCGCUGCCCAAACGCACCCCCAUGCCCAGCAUUCUCAACCCCGUCCAAAUGAUGCCCUAAAGCUCAUUUUUAUUCUUCCUGCUUCGACCUUGGAAGGCAUGAGAAGUUAGGGACGUACACUUCCCUACUCUAAGUCUGCAAGUAAAAGCUGGUCAUGAAGCACCAGGUACAUUUUACAUACGGUUUUAUCUAAAGGAGCCAGGGGUCAAAAAAUUUGGUUGCUGUCCCAUAAAUGACUUUCAAAUAAAUGGGAUUGUUUUCCCAUGCAAGGUCAGCUGGAAAGAUGCAACUUUGAAAGCGCAGAGUAAAUGCAAUGUGCAGAUACCGGGAGAGACUCUGUUCCAAAAACUGUGUGAGCUGGAGAUGCACACGUGGAGAUGGAGUGUGCCUGUGAGUCGCGUGCCCGUGCAACAUCGUGUCCAAACCAGGACGUUCUUGAGAGCGAACAGAGAAAUUAUUCCUACUUUCGUCUGGCUAUCUAGGUGUUAGCCAGCACUGGCCACCACUCCUGAGGGCUGUGCUCUGUGGAUUAAAUCCUUGGUGAA